CGAGGGGUAACAGGGAAGUUUGCUUCCGCUGACGACCGGCGCAUGGGUGCGUAACGUGUAUGCAACCUACCUCCAACUGGGGAAUAGUUCCGAGAAAUUGGGAUUAAUAUCCCAUAAUAUUCAUUAUUUGUAUGUUUGAUGAAUUAAAGUUUUGAUGGUUAGAGAUGGGCAUGCGUGACAUUAGCUUGUUGGUGAGGUAAUGGUUUAUCAAGGCUGUGAUGUCUAGGGGUUUUGAGAGGAUUAUCCCCCACACUGGUACUGAGAUAUGGACCAGACUCCUACGGGAGGUAGCAGUAAGGAAUAUUGGUCAAUGGAUGAAAGUUUGAACCAGCCAUGCCGCGUGCAGGAUGACUGCCCUAUGGGUUGUAAACUGCUUUUAUACAGGAAGAAACCUUUGUAUGUGUGUAGGGUUGAUGGUACUGUAUGAAUAAGCACCGGCUAACUCCGUGCCAGUAGUUGUGGUAAUACGGAGGGUGCAAGCGUUAUCCGGAUUUAUUGGGUUUAAAGGGUGCGCAGGCGGAAUGAUAAGUCAGUGGUGAAAGUCUACAGUUUAAUUGUAGAAUUGCCAUUGAUACUGCCAUUCUUGAGUACAGUGGAAGUGGGCGGAAUGUAUCAUGUAGUGGUGAAAUGUAUAGAUAUGAUACAGAACGCCGAUAGUGUAAGUAGUUCACUAUACUGUAAUUGAUGCUCAGGCAUGAAAGCGCGGGGGGUAAAUAGGAUUAGAUAUUUUGGUAGUUUAUGUUGUAAACGAUGAUCACUCGUUGUUGGUAAUAUAUAGCCAGCGACUGAAUGAAAGUAUUAAGUGAUUUAUUUGGGAAGUAUGAUUGUAAGGUUGAAAUUUAAAGGAAUUGACGGGGGCCCGUACAAGCGGAGGAGCAUGUGGUUUAAUUUGAUGAUAUGUGAGGAAUUUUACCUGGGCUUAAAUGCAGAAUGACCUCCACUGAAAGGUGGAUUUUUUUUGGGGUGAUUUGCAAGGUGCUGUAUGGUUGUCGUCAGCUCGUGUUGUGAGGUGUUGGGUUAAGUUUUAUAAGGAGUGUAACCCCUAUUCUUAGUUGCUAUUAGGUAAUGUUGGGGAUUUUAAGGAAAUUGUUUAUGUAAGUAGUGAGGAAGGUGGGGAUGACGUCAAAUCAGCACGGUUUUUAUGUCCAGGGCUACACACGUGCUACAAUGGUCGGUAUAGAGGGUUGUUAUUUAGUGAUAGGAUGUUAAUUUUGAAAACCGAUCUCAGUUCGGAUCGAAGUCUGUAAUUUGACUUCGUGAAGCUGGAUUCGCUAGUAAUCGCAUAUUAGUAAUGGUGCGGUGAAUACGUUCCCGGGCCUUGUAUAUAUCGCCCGUCAAGCCAUGGAAGCUGGGGGUACCUGAAGUUUGUUAUUGUAAGGAGUGGUUUAGGGUAAAACUAGUAACUGGGGCUAAGUUGAAAUAAGGUA
rnacentral:rRNA from 1 species